AUACGAAGGUGGCAAGCGUUGUUCGGAUUCACUGGGCGUACAGGGAGCGUAGGCGGUUGGGUAAGCCCUCCGUGAAAUCUCCGGGCCUAACCCGGAAAGUGCAGAGGGGACUGCUCGGCUUGAGGACGGGAGAGGAGCGCGGAAUUCCCGGUGUAGCGGUGAAAUGCGUAGAGAUCGGGAGGAAGGCCGGUGGCGAAGGCGGCGCUCUGGAACGUUUCUGACGCUGAGGCUCGAAAGCGUGGGGAGCAAACAGGAUUAGAUACCCUGGUAGUCCACGCCUUAAACGAUGGAUACUAAGUGUCGGCGGGUUACCGCCGGUGCCGCAGCUAACGCAGUAAGUAUCCCGCCUGGGAAGUACGGCCGCAAGGUUGAA
rnacentral:rRNA from 1 species